UUCACCAAUAAUACACAAUAUGUUAUCCUUAAUUGUUAAAUUUAUUCCGAAAAAAUUUUUCGUAUCCGAAAUGCAGUUCGAAGAAGCCCGCCAUUUACCGGAUAUAUGAUUUGUAAACUUCUCCAUGU